UUUUCGUAGGUGAACCUGCGGAAGGAUCAUUAGUGAAAUCAUGGAUUCCUCUGCAAAGAGAAGGUCCAUAUUACACUUUCACAAACACUGUGCACUUGUUCUUUUUACAAUUUAUUUUGUAAAACACUUGUGUUAAUGUUAUAAAAGUCAUGAAUGUAUAAUAUGAUAAUGAAAGUAAAACUUUCAGCAAUGGAUCUCUUGGCUCUCGCAUCGAUGAAGAACGCAGC
rnacentral:misc_RNA from 1 species